UUAUCCGGGCUUGGUGGCAAGCACCUAUAAUUCCAGCUACUCGGGAGGCUGAGGCAGGAGAAUCACUUGGACCUGGGAGGCAGAGGUUGCAGUAAGGCAGAGGUUGCAGUGAGCUAAGAUUGUGCUAUUGCACUCCAGCCUGGGCAACAAGAGCAAAACAGAAUUUCCAAUAAAAGAAGUAUAAAGAAUAGUUCAUAAGUUUCUCUUUGGCCAUUAUUACUAUCUAACAGGCUAUAUAUUUUACUUAUUCAUUUUAUUCAUUUUGUUAUUAUCUGUGUUCCAACGUAGGCACUCAAAUAUAUACACUCCCUAUAGGCAGGGAUUUGGGAAAGGAGCUCCCUCAAUAGACAUUUACCUUUAAGUCUGACCGAGGGUGACCAAAGUUAUUCAGUUCAAGAAGCCUCACUUCUCCAAUAUGGUCCAUCUCACAAGAAACAAGACUUUCAGCAUCUGGAAUGUGGACUGGUUAGGUAAAUAGAAAGAGCAAGGAAAACACUCAAGGGAUAAGGAUAUACUUACUCAUGACAGGAAAAAAGGAAGGUGAGAAAAUCAAAAGAGAACCUUGGGGGCUGGCGUAGGAGAGAAGCCUCAUAGAGAGGGAAAUGGCUCUUAAGCUUGGCCUUGAAGAAAAUG
rnacentral:lncRNA from 1 species